rnacentral:rRNA from 1 species
UUUCGCAAUGCCCGAAAGGGUGACGAAGCGACGCCUAGGGUGGGAAGAAGGCCUUCGGGUUGUAAAUCCCUGUCGGGAGUUACGAAAAGCAACGAUAUUAAUACAGUGAUUGUUUGUCUAAGGCUCCGGAGGAAGCCACGUCUAACUAUGUCCCAGCAGCCGCGGUAAUUCCGAGGUGGCAAGCGUCGUUCGGAACUAUUGGGCGUAAAGAGCAUGUAGGCGGUUAUGUAAGUCGGUUGUCAAACCCUUCCGAUCAACGGAAGAACAGCAUCCGAUACCAUAAGGUCCGAGCGCGGGAGGGGAGAGUGGAACUUCUGGUGGAGCGGUGAAAUGCGUAGAUAUCAGAAGGAACGCCGGCGGCGAAAGCGGCUCUCUGGCCCAUAAUUGACGCUGAUUGUGCGAAAGGUCGGGGAGCAAACGGGAUUAGAUACCCCGGUAGUCCUAGCCGUAAACGAGGGGCCCUAAGUAGCGGGGUUUU